AUGGUGUUGCUUGACAUUAGGGGUAUGUUGCAGUCCGUGGGUAAAGACAUUGUUGAUUUCGCUCUUCCAAGCAUAGAUGAUGCGUUUGACCCAACAGAGGGCGAGGCAAGAGAGGUUAUCGAGCAAUCAACCGUUGAGUUUGACAUGGAUGACACAAAAUUGGCAUCUUCACUGAACAUGGAGCAGAGGGCCGCAUACGAUGAUAUACUAGGGGCUGUUGAAUGCUGUGAUGGGGGUGUAUUCUUUGUUGAUGGCCCUGGAGGUACAGGGAAGACCUUCCUAUAUAGGGCGAUGGUUGCCAAGGUGAGGAGCCAGGGCAAGAUUGGUAUCGCUACCGCAACGUCCGGCGUCGCCGCUUCUAUCAUGCCUGGCGGCAGGACUGCCCACUCGAGGUUCAAGAUCCCAUUGAGUUGCGAUGAUGGAGCCUCGUGCAGCUUCACCAAGCAGAGUGGGACCACCAAGCUGCUACGAAUGGCCUCAUUGAUAAUAUGGGACGAGGCCAGCAUGACGAAGCGGCAAGCGGUUGAGGCAUUGGACAAUAGCAUGCGCGACAUCAUGGGAAUACGUGACCGAUUCUUUGGAGGAAAGACUGUUGUUUUUGGCGGGGACUUUAGGCAGGUUCUUCCGGUCGUCAGAAGGGGGUCGCGGGGCCAGAUAAUUGAUGCAACCCUCUGA
rnacentral:rRNA from 1 species